rnacentral:siRNA from 1 species
CUUAAAAACGUUAGCCAUGCC